GCAGGAGGAAGGGGGCCCGGAGGCUGGAGGCUGGAGGCUGAAGGCUGGAAAGGGCUGGCGUCAGAGGCCAUUGACAUUUCAGGGAAGCAGAGAGGCCCUCUCCAGCGCCGGCCCUGUUGAUAACAAUUCAUUCCCAUGGAGGACGCUGUGGACUGGAACAUUCUCCAAAACACGGGGCAGGAGAGAGGAAAACUGAGUACUCAGAGACUCUGAGCGGCUUCCCAAAGUCACACAGCUAAACAGAGGCAGGAACAACCGUCGACCGUCAGCCGUGGCGCACACGCGAUAGCCUGUUUCAGAAUUAGAGAAAGCUGGACUAGCAGCUGAAACGACGAAACGAUGUCACCACAGCAUCACUCCUGGCACUCAACUGCUUUCCUGUGAGCUGCCUCGUCUGCCGACACGAUGUCCCCAAACACAUCCAAAGGCAAAGGUCGGUGUUCCCCAGACAUUUGCUCUGAGAGGUCCUGGUGAUGGUUGGGUGGGCACCUCCUGUAGAGGCCUGAGGAGCGCCCCACCCCAGCCCACGUAGGAGAAACACUGACCCUGAGGCCUGAAGUCUCGGUACAGACGUUCUCAUGCUCCGACACCACCUGCACUGGGGACCCCACACUCUCCCCCUUCCCCCCUUCAGCUGCCCCCAGGCACCCGCUGGCUUUUGUGGUCCCAGGGGGGCUCUUGGUUCCUGUGCUCACGAUUAAGAGCCCUGAGCCCUCCUCCCACCACCCCCACCUUGGAUGCCUGGGCAA